UACGUAGGGUGCAAGCGUUAUCCGGAAUCACUGGGCGUAAAGCGUGCGUAGGUGGCGUGUUAAGUGUGAUGUUAAAUCGUGUGGCUCAACCAUAUCGAUGUGUCGCAUACUGGCAUGCUAGAGGACAGCAGAGGCAAGUGGAAUUUGUAGUGUAGCAGUGAAAUGCGUAGAUAUUACAAGGAACUCCAAUGGCGAAGGCAGCUUGCUGGGCUACUCCUGACACUGAGGUACGAAAGCGUGGGGAGCGAACAGG
rnacentral:rRNA from 1 species